rnacentral:rRNA from 1 species
GCUUGCACCUCUGAUACUUAGCGGCGGACGGGUGAGUAACACGUGGGUAACCUGCCUGUAAGACUGGGAUAACAUUCGGAAACGAAUGCUAAUACCGGAUACGCGAUAUGGUCGCAUGACCGAAUCGGGAAAGAUGGAGCAAUCUAUCACUUACAGAUGGACCCGCGGCGCAUUAGCUAGUUGGUGAGGUAACGGCUCACCAAGGCGACGAUGCGUAGCCGACCUGAGAGGGUGAUCGGCCACACUGGGACUGAGACACGGCCCAGACUCCUACGGGAGGCAGCAGUAGGGAAUCUUCCGCAAUGGACGAAAGUCUGACGGAGCAACGCCGCGUGAGUGAUGAAGGUUUUCGGAUCGUAAAGCUCUGUUGCCAGGGAAGAAUGCUUGGGAGAGUAACUGCUCUCAAGGUGACGGUACCUGAGAAGAAAGCCCCGGCUAACUACGUGCCAGCAGCCGCGGUAAUACGUAGGGGGCAAGCGUUGUCCGGAAUUAUUGGGCGUAAAGCGCGCGCAGGCGGCCUUGUAAGUCUGUUGUUUAAACUUGGGGCUCAACCCCAAGUCGCAAGGGAAACUGCAAAGCUUGAGUACAGAAGAGGAAAGUGGAAUUCCACGUGUAGCGGUGAAAUGCGUAGAGAUGUGGAGGAACACCAGUGGCGA